CAAAAAAAAAAACAAAAGGAAGGCCGAAAAUAAAGAAUGGUCAUAGCUAUCUCAAAGUCAUCCCUCAGCGUCGGUCUUCAAGUAUUGCUUCAUAUCUCAUUUUCUGCCGUCCUCCUACCCAUCUCAUAGCUAUCUCAUACUCCACUUCCAGGAGAGGAAGUUGUGAGGAGGAUCGGGGGCCAUGUCUUCCUCUUCCUUGUUGGAGUCUGGUGGAGGAGAGAGGAGAAGAGAGGGAUGGUGGAGAAGAUUUUUGGACGCGGAGGAGGCCAAGGGUCAGCUGUUGUUCGCCUUGCCCAUGAUACUCACCAACAUGUGCUACUACGCCGUCACGCUUGUCUCGGUUAUGUUCGCCGGCCAUCUCGGCGACGUCGAGUUGGCCGGCGCCACCCUCGGCAAUUCCUGGGGUACCGUCACCGGCCUAGCUCUCAUGACUGGUUUAAGUGGGGCUCUCGAAACACUUUGUGGUCAAGGAUUUGGUGCAAAGUUGUAUCGGAUGCUAGGAAUAUACCUACAAUCAUCAGUUAUUAUAACUACAUGCUUUUCGAUCUUGGUAUCCAUCUUAUGGUACUGUUCAGAGACCUUAUUGAUCUGGCUGCAUCAAGAACCAGAAGUAUCAAAAAUGGCUGGCCUCUAUCUGAGAUAUCUGAUUCCAGGACUUUUUGCCUAUGGCUACUUGCAAUGCAUCAUGAGGUUCCUCCAGACUCAAACAGUGGUGAUGCCUCUGGUUGUGUGUUCAGUACUCCCACUAAUUUUCCAUGUUGGGAUAACAUAUCUACUGAUCCAUGUCCUGGGCCUUGGAUUCAAAGGAACUUCGCUCGCCGGUUCCAUAUCAUUAUGGUUAUCAUUUUUGAUGCUGGCACUCUAUGUCAAUUAUGCAGAGAAGUUCAAGAGCACAUGGGAAGGGUUUUCAAUGGAAUCUUUUCAGUUUGUAAUUCCUAGCUUGAGGUUGGCUGUUCCUUCGGCGGUGAUGGUCUGCUUGGAGUAUUGUGCUUUCGAGAUCCUUGUUUUGCUUGCUGGAUUGAUGCCAAACUCUGAGUUGAGUACUUCGGUAGUAGCAAUGUGUGUGAACACAGAAGCAAUCUCGUACAUGAUCACAUAUGGAUUCAGUGCAGUUGUGAGCACGCGUGUGUCAAAUGAGAUAGGCGCCGGAAAUACAGAGAAGGCUAAGAAUGCUGUUGCUGUAACACUGAAGCUCUCGGUCUUGCUAGCGUUGACAAUUGUUCUUUUACUAGUUUUCGGUCAUAAUAUAUGGGCAAGCUUUUUCAGCAGCAGUUAUGCUAUUAUAAGGAAAUUUGCUUACAUGACUCCACUACUCACAGUGUCUAUAGUAUUGGACUCGGCUCAAGGAGUUUUAUCUGGGGUAUCUAGAGGCUGUGGUUGGCAGCACUUGGCAGCAUGGGCCAACUUAGUAGCAUUUUACAUAAUCGGCAUGCCAUUUGCUCUUCUUUUUGGAUUCAAGUUGGGAUUUCAUGAUAAGACCUUGGAUAAGGGUCACAUGAUAGCCCUCAGCACAAGAGGUUAGAGGUGCCCCUCCCAUGAUGCCUCCAAACCCUCAGCACAAAAAGAUGGCAGCAGUCAACUGCAGGGCUUUGAUAGGAAGAAAAUUCACCAGCGAGGAUUGUGGAUGGGUUUGAUCUGUGGUCUCUUCUGUCAGGCUUCCACGCUCUUAGUGAUCACUCUGCGCACUAAAUGGACAAGAUUAGACCUCCAAGUGAAGGAUAAACAAAAUUAUGUGCUUGUUUAGCGAGCGGCUUUAUAGAACUCAUGAAGUGACGCAAGAUACUCGCAUCAUCUAAUAAUAAGCCAAUGAAUGCCUAUUCUUUCUAGGAUUGAGCAUUCUCAGUUUCAAAGUAUGAUCUCGCUUGUUUAUCAAUUAGCAAGACUGUUAGCACCAAAGUUCAUGUGUUCUUUGGUUUACCAUAUGUAUGCAAACAAUAGAACAAGCACUACUAGAGUCUUCUUCCACCGAGAUUGCAGUGGUAUGUAACUCCCUGGCAUGCAUUAUAAUUUUUUCCCAUGCUCAGCCACUGUAACUAUGACUUCAGAGAAACAGAAGCCAGCAGUGACAACAACAGACCCACGAUUGUCCCGCCCGACGAAGCUUGCCCCAGCACAAUCAAUACUUCAUCAAAAUUAUUUUUUAAUAUAACUGGUUGUAGGGAGUGCAAAUAAUGAUUAAGGGAAAGAACAAGCUGGAUGCAGCGACUGGUCCUGAGUGAGCCAAGGUACAUCUAGAAGAACUGGCAGUAGAAUGACUUUGUUUCAGUUGGUAAAGUUCAUUACUGGCUGCUAGAGCUUGCUAACAAUUUGGCUGAGAGGAGGAUUGCCUUCAAAGACAACUUUAUUCCUAGCCAACCAAGUGUUGCAGGUGACAUUGCAUAAUGAAAUUAGAAAGUUCUUAUUGUUAGUUA